CCUACGGUGGGCAGCAGUGAGGAAUAUUGGUCAAUGGACGAGAGUCUGAACCAGCCAAGUAGCGUGAAGGAUGACUGCCCUAUGGGUUGUAAACUUCUUUUAUAAAGGAAUAAAACGAGGCACGUGUGCCUUUUUGCAUGUACUUUAUGAAUAAGGAUCGGCUAACUCCGUGCCAGCAGCCGCGGUAAUACGGAGGAUCCGAGCGUUAUCCGGAUUUAUUGGGUUUAAAGGGAGCGUAGAUGGGUUGUUAAGUCAGUUGUGAAAGUUUGCGGCUCAACCGUAAAAUUGCAAUUGAUACUGGCAGCCUUGAGUACAGUUGAGGUAGGCGGAAUUCGUGGUGUAGCGGUGAAAUGCUUAGAUAUCACGAAGAACUCCGAUUGCGAAGGCAGCUUACUAAACUGCCACUGACAUUGAUGCUCGAAAGUGUGGGUAUCAAACAGGAUUAGAUACCCUGGUAGUC
rnacentral:rRNA from 1 species